AUGGGGCCAUUUUCCAUCCUGUGGGGCUGGGCACUCGUGGCUACCGUGAGUACAGAUGCCACUGUGAGCUUGGUGGAGCAAAGGCCCAGGUGGGUCCUGGUAGCUCACGGACAGGCUAAAACCCUGCACUGCAUCCUGAGGAAUUCCCAGUACCCCUGGAUGAGCUGGUAUCAACAGGACCUCCAGGGGCAACUACACCUACUGGCCACUCUGCGGAGUCCUGGGAAUGAGGAGGUCGUAUCCCUUCCUGGAGCACAUUACCAGGCCACGAGGGUCAACAGCAUGGAGCUGAGGCUGCGUGUGACCAAUGUGACCCAGGGGAGAACUCUCUACUGCACCUGCAGUACCAGACACAGGAAACGGAUGUUCGACACCUGGGACGACUUGCCUGAUGUCACAUAA